rnacentral:rRNA from 1 species
CCUACGGGAGGCAGCAGUGGGGAAUAUUGGACAAUGGGGGGAACCCUGAUCCAGCGACGCCGCGUGAGUGAAGAAGUAUUUCGGUAUGUAAAGCUCUAUCAGCAGGGAAGAAAAUGACGGUACCUGACUAAGAAGCCCCGGCUAACUACGUGCCAGCAGCCGGGGGAAUACGUAGGGGGCAAGCGUUAUCCGGAUUUAAUGGGUGUAAAGGGGGCGUAGGCGGUGCAGCAAGUCUGAUGGGAAAGGUUGGGGCCCAACCCCGGGACUGCAUUGGAAACUGUUGGACUGGAGUACAGGAGAGGUAAGCGGAAUUCGUAGUGUAGCGGUGAAAUGCGUAGAUAUUAGGAAGAACACCAGUGGCGAAGGCGGCUUACUGG